AUUGAACGCUGGCGGCAGGCCUAACACAUGCAAGUCGAACGGUAACAGGAAGAAGCUUGCUUCUUUGCUGACGAGUGGCGGACGGGUGAGUAAUGUCUGGGAAACUGCCUGAUGGAGGGGGAUAACUACUGGAAACGGUAGCUAAUACCGCAUAACGUCGCAAGACCAAAGAGGGGGACCUUCGGGCCUCUUGCCAUCGGAUGUGCCCAGAUGGGAUUAGCUAGUAGGUGGGGUAACGGCUCACCUAGGCGACGAUCCCUAGCUGGUCUGAGAGGAUGACCAGCCACACUGGUACUGAGACACGGUCCAGACUCCUACGGGAGGCAGCAGUGGGGAAUAUUGCACAAUGGGCGCAAGCCUGAUGCAGCCAUGCCGCGUGUAUGAAGAAGGCCUUCGGGUUGUAAAGUACUUUCAGCGGGGAGGAAGGGAGUAAAGUUAAUACCUUUGCUCAUUGACGUUACCCGCAGAAGAAGCACCGGCUAACUCCGUG
rnacentral:rRNA from 1 species